UCAUUGUCAUUGUCAAAGCAAGUAAACAUGCAAAGCAAGGCAAAUAUAAGUACGAGUAUAUUUUGGACGGAGUCGGAUAAGAUACGGAUCGCGGCCAAAGACUUGGCUCAGUUGAGAACCCAGUUCUGGGCCAGGAAGAUGCAAAUAGACGUGCAAGUGGAAGUUAAAAGGCCGCCGCGAAAAAACAAGAUUCGAGAAACGCGCCACAGAGUUUUCCCCUCGACCGCCAGCCAAUAAUCACAAUAAUCAUGGUAAGCGGGCAGUCAGUCAGGCCAAAACAGGUUGCCGGCGGAUGCCCAGACUGCAGACUGCUACAGACUCGGAUUUUUGGGAUGCCGAACGAAAGUGAAAACAUUCACCUCGCCACCAAGAGCACCAAGAGCAGCAAGAAGCCAAGAGGAGCUGGGGACGGAGACUAGCGUCCGAAAUAAAGAUUGAAUUUAAAUAA